rnacentral:rRNA from 1 species
GAGUUUGAUCCUGGCUCAGGAUGAACGCCGGCGGUGUGCCUAAUACAUGCAAGUCGUACGCACUGGCCCAACUGAUUGAUGGUGCUUGCACCUGAUUGACGAUGGAUCACCAGUGAGUGGCGGACGGGUGAGUAACACGUAGGUAACCUGCCCCGGAGCGGGGGAUAACAUUUGGAAACAGAUGCUAAUACCGCAUAACAACAAAGGCCACAUGGCUUUGUUUGAAAGAUGGCUUUGGCCAUCACUCUGGGAUGGACCUGCGGUGCAUUAGCUAGUUGGUAAGGUAACGGCUUACCAAGGCGAUGAUGCAUAGCCGAGUUGAGAGACUGAUCGGCCACAAUGGAACUGAGACACGGUCCAUACUCCUACGGAAGGC